CUUGCUUCUGAUAAUUUUGUGGAACUUGCGGAUCACAUAAAAUUUGAUCAUGGCUACGCACCUCCAGCAGUCCUGCAAUCAUUCUCUCUGAUGAUGACCUGCCGAGUGUGAUGAUUUGUGCUAACUAUCUCAAGUGACCUGCCUACUGCACCAAGGGGAUUCAUCGAAGGAGCAAGGGGAGCAGAGCUGACAAUUCUUCUCCAGGGGAUUCAUCGAAGGAGCAAGGGGAGCAGAGAUUAGGUUAGUAGUCGGACUUAUCUUCAGGUGAAACUCUUAGAAGAAAAGGGGGUUUGAUACUACUAUUAUUAACCUGAGAACGCAUUCCUCAAUAAAGGAAAAACAACCAGCUAACAAUGUCUGCGCAAGAAUUCGUGCACUAGAUGAUUGCUCGUAAUCUUUCGGCGGGAAGGAAGCGAGUUAUAUGUUGCUGUGUUGAGAGCUUGA